AUUAAAUACGGAUUGUCCGUAUAUAAGAUUUGUACAUAAAAAUAUAAUGUAAAUUUCACUACAAAAAUAUUAUAUUCCAUCUCCCAUUUUCUUAUUCACUGUCUUCACUGUGCUCACAGUUUCUCUAAUCUAGUUGUCCAGUGUCAAUAUUGCUUCACGGUUCACCACCGUCUCCUCUCCACUGCAGUUCUCGACUUGGACUCACUUUUCACGAUUCGUCAUGGAAUGUGCGACAGUAUCCUUCGUCGUUGGUCCCUCACCGGUAAGUUCUCUUUUUCUGGAUUCCCUAAUUGCUUCGCCUCUCGUUUGAACUCCAUUUUCCAUCCCGUUACGCUAUUCUGAAAACCCUAGAAAUUAGGGAAAACUAAUCCCUAUUAGAAUUUGNGAAAUUAGUUUUACAAAUGUGGAUAGAAAAUAGGGUUGGAUGCAAAGAUUUUCUAUAUUAAAGCUUUCACUGUUUUGAAGUUUAUGAAUCUCGUUCUUUUGUUCUACCUUUCUCUUGCUUUAUAUGCACUUUCAAUUUUCNUAUUAGAGCUUGACUAUGACCUGUUUUGUUAAUUUGGCCAUUUCGCAUAAAGCAAUUUUUAUUUCGCUUUAAUUAAAUAGAUUAUGAAGUUAUAUGCCCAAUGUUGUNUCUUUUCUCAGNUUUUUCUGUGUCGGAUAGAGUAUGUUCCUCCAUUAAGCAAAAGAAGGUACUUGUUUCUUUCACAUUCUCCUAACAUAUUUUAUAAUCUUUUCUUUCAAGAUAAAGAAUUUGCAUAAAGUAUGUUUCUUCAGGAUCAUUGGUUGUUAUUAGGAAGUGGAGUUUAUUCAAGUGCUUUGGUUGUUGUGGUCUGUUUCCAAUUUGCUCUCCUUCAUGUAGAAUACACACCAUUGUCACCAUAUUUGUUACGAUUGUUUUAGUAGGCUUUAAAAAAUGAACUUGUCUCAGUUGGAUCAUAGUUAUGACAACUUUUCCUAAUUAAAAUCUUCAAAAAGUUUAACAAGAUUGAAAUAGAAGUUGACUGGAAAGAUGAAAGGCCUGUUGCUNGGAGCAUUGGUUCUUAUAGCACGUGAGAGCAAGCUCAGCACCCAGGUUAUUUCAUUCUAACUUUGGCAUAAAUAAAGUUGCAAGGGGAGGAUUGUGCCAAAAACUGAGUGUNACAUCUGUUAAUCUUUGUGAAAAAAAUUAAAUUGGGUUAUAUCAAAUUUGAUCAAUAGUAUUAUCAAUUUGAUUAUAGUAGGAUCGUCAUUGUCCAAUGUUUUCUAGUUGGUAAACACCACAAUAAUUAAGUUACCUUCUUUUUUAUGAUUAUUUUGAUUUUAUGGCCUUAAGUAUCUUGAAAUGCAGUAUGGUAAUAAUUCUAUUGUACCGCAUACAAAUGCAAAAGGAGUUGCACAAUUUCCUUUACUUUUGUUCUGCUCUUGGAACUGAAAUUAAAGUGCAUGAUAGUUCUUCGAUUUGAUUUCUUCCAGCGCUUUGGAAGCUUUAUGGAGAUGCUAUUUGGUGGGCGCUAUGUGCUACUUUUGAUGUCUCUAUUUUCUAUUUAUCGUUUGGGGUUGGUGAUUUUGAUUGGAAGAAGUUUACUUCCCGCAUGAAACAGAAGACUUACAAUGAAAUUAAAGAGUAAUAACAUCAAUUUUCUUUGAACUAAUGCCAUAUUUGGAUUGGGAUGUUUUAGACAUUCAGAAUGAUGAAUUUGAUGUCAUACUGCAGCUAGGCUAAUGCAUUCUUAACCAUUUAGAUACAAAAUUAGAUUGAGAAUGGGAAUGUGUUUAGUAGUUACUAAGUUUAAUCUUUUGACUCACCUAUAUAUUAUUGAUUGCGUGUCUCUUCAAUUACCUACCUCAUCUUAUAGAACUUUUGGGCAUUUACUUUUUAGUGAAUGUUUAUUAUAUAUGCCCAUAUUUGUUGAUAUUAAGUAUUAUGCAAUUUUUGUAUCCAGCACUAUACUGACGUAUGAAAUUUGGGACAAUCUUUUUGAAGUCACAGUUCAUAAUGAAGACCAUCAAGUGCUUGUUAUAUGAUGAUCCAAAUUUUGAGGGGCAUGGAAAUCUUUCCAGUGGCACUGCUUGAGGCUAUAGGCGCUAGUGUCUACUUGGUCAGGAAACCGUUACAAAAUGUACAAGUAAUUCUUGUAACUAUAUGUAUGAAUAAGAGUUGUAUUUUUUUUAGUUCUGUUUAUAGAAUUAUCCUAUAAAGU